GACGAACGCUGGCGGCGUGCCUUAUACAUGCAAGUCGAACGAAGCUGUUUUAACUGGUGCUUGCACCGACUUAAACAACUGAGUGGCGAACGGGUGAGUAACACGUGGGUAACCUGCCCCAAAGCGGGGGAUAACAUUUGGAAACAGAUGCUAAUACCGCAUAACCACAGAAACCACAUGGUUUCUGUGUCAAAGAUGGUUUCGGCUAUCACUUUGGGAUGGACCCGCGGCGUAUUAGCUAGUUGGUAAGGUAAUGGCUUACCAAGGCAAUGAUACGUAGCCGAACUGAGAGGUUGAUCGGCCACAUUGGGACUGAGACACGGCCCAAACGCCUACGGGAGGCAGCAGUAGUGAAUCUUCCACAAUGGACGAAAGUCUGAUGGAGCAACGCCGCGUGAGUGAAGAAGGUUUUCGGAUCGUAAAACUCUGUUGUCAGAGAAGAACGUGUGCGAGAGUAACUGUUCGUGCAGUGACGGUAUCUGGCCAGAAAGCCACGGCUAACUACGUGCCAGCAGCCGCGGUAA
rnacentral:rRNA from 1 species